rnacentral:tRNA from 1 species
GGGGUUGUGGCUCAGUGGUAAAGCGCUCGCCUAGCAUGUGUGAGGAACUGGGUUCGAUUCUCAGCACCA